CUAUAGCGAGUCUCAGCACUCCAAACCCCUGUGAACGUACUGAAAGAAAUGUUGUUUCGGUGGGUAGUUGGUGGGUUCGUCCGCCAACGUGCCGGGCCUGACCGCUCGGCGCCCACCAGCAGCAUCAAGCUCUCCAUAUAUAGCAGAAUCUGAGUACCGUCUUUUAAAUAAGCA
rnacentral:misc_RNA from 1 species